rnacentral:rRNA from 1 species
GGGCCUAACACAUGCAAGUCGAACGCGAAAGGUCUUCGGACUGAGUAGAGUGGCGCACGGGUGAGUAACACGUAGGUAAUCUACCCUUUGGCGGGGGAUAACGUUCCGAAAGGAGCGCUAAUACCGCAUAAGACCACGGAGUCUCCGGACGCUGUGGGAAAAGGUGGCCUCUUCUUGAAAGCUACCACCGAAGGAUGAGCCUGCGUCCCAUCAGCUAGUUGGUAAGGUAAUGGCUUACCAAGGCGAAGACGGGUAGCUGGUUUGAGAGAAUGAUCAGCCACACUGGCACUGGAACACGGGCCAGACUCCUACGGGAGGCAGCAGUGAGGAAUAUUGGGCAAUGGGCGAAAGCCUGACCCAGCCACGCCGCGUGAGUGAUGAAGGCCCUCGGGUCGUAAAGCUCUGUGGAGAGGGACGAAAACCCUGGUUUCAAAUAGGCUCCAGGCUUGACGGUACCUCUUUAGCAAGCACCGGCUAACUCUGUG